UCUGAAUCUGCGNACGGCUCCGCAAACCAGUUGUAAACCAAAGCAAGCACGAUCGGUAUUCGGCCCUCACAGGUCGGGUGCCGGUCAAUAAGGAUAACCCUGGUAAUUCUGAGGCUAAUACUAGAUCGUAAUCCCUGGUUGACCAUAUGGGAAGCCGGGGGACGUGUGAAUUAGGCGCAAGAUGAGCCGGGAAAGGAUGCACGUCCAGACCGCGACAAAGACGGAUCGGCUUCGGCUGGCCCGAGCGGCUCUUGCGGGGUGCUUCUGACCUAUCAACUAGAUGGCAGCGUAAGGGACAUGCUAUGGUGAGCAACGGGUACAG
rnacentral:rRNA from 1 species